rnacentral:misc_RNA from 1 species
GAUGAAGAACGCAGCGAAAUGCGAUACGUAAUGUGAAUUGCAGAAUUCAGUGAAUCAUCGAGUCUUUGAACGCACAAUGCGCCCCCUGGUAUUCCGGGGGGCAUGCCUGUCCGAGCGUCAUUGCUGCCCUCAAGCACGGCUUGUGUGUUGGGCCUCCGUCCUCCUCCCGGGGGACGGGCCCGAAAGGCAGCGGCGGCACCGCGUCCGGUCCUCGAGCGUAUGGGGCUUCGUCACCCGCUCUUGUAGGCCCGGCCGGCGCUUGCCGACACAUCAAUCUUUUUUCCAGGUUGACCUCGGAUCAGGUAGGGAUACCCGCUGAACUUAAGCAUAUCAAUAAGCGGAGGA